AUUGAACGCUGGCGGCAGGCCUAACACAUGCAAGUCGAGCGAGCGGCGGACGGGUGAGUAAUGUAUGGGGAUCUGCCCGAUAGAGGGGGAUACCUACUGGAAACGGUAGCUAAUACCGCAUACUAUCGUAUGACCCCAUAUGGGAUUAGCUAGUUGGUUAGGUAAUGGCUCACCAAGGCGACGAUCCCUAGCUGGUCUGAGAGGAUGACCAGCCACACUGGAACUGAGACACGGUCCAGACUCCUACGGGAGGCAGCAGGGGGGAAUAUUGCACAAGGGGCGCAAGCCUGAGGCAGCCAUGCCGCGUGUGUGAAGAAGGCCUUCGGGUUGUAAAGCACUUUCAGCGAGGAGGCGUUACUAGCAGAAGAAGCACCGGCUAACUCCGUGCCAGCAGCCGCGGUAAUAC
rnacentral:rRNA from 1 species